CGACGCACCCGCGCACGCUGACCCCGAGCUACCGUCCGCCCCAGCUCCCCGCGUGGGGCCGCCGCGACCGGGGCCUGCGGGGCGGGCGCGUGCCUGCGUCACAUGCCCGGCGCCCCGGGCCCCGAGGCCCCGGUGACCAUGGCAUUUCAGGGCCGGGGACCUGGGGUGCGUGGUGGGGCCGCCCCCUCUCCGGCCCGGCGCAGAAGUGGGAGCCACCCCAUCCCCCACCGGCGCGGCCUCGCUUCGCCGCCGCAGUUCAGGAGCCACGUGGAAGCCGCGGGACCUGAGGGCAAAGCGCGAGGCCGCGGUCACAGACGGCGUGCAAAUGGGCGGCCCUGGAAGACCACAGGCCGAGUUUGUUGUCCUGACUGCACGGCCGGAUCCCGCUCCCGAUUCGCCCCCCACGCUCCCCGUCGGGCUGUUCCGGGGCCCUUUUUAAAUAAACACUCGGAGUGGAGCUGAGGAAAGACUGGCGAAAUGUUUGAAAGCAGCCCCCAGAUCAGCUGCUCCCAUUCCACUGCCUGCAGCAUCCUGGCACUCGCUUGGGGGACACCCGAGAGUCAUCGAUCAAUAGGGCCUCGUCCCAGGGGAUAAGGCCGGCCAGCUGCCAGGGAGCCGCAUUCUAGCAAAGGUGGUUAUCCGGUAGAGCCCGUUGUGGACGAGCCAGCUUGAUGGAGAAAUGGCUUUGCAGAUCCCAGCUUAAUUAAAGCAGUGUGACCAGCGUCCCUACUGAAGCCGCUCAUCUGCAGUGACAAGGCCAGCGUGGUCCACGGAUGUGGUUUUCUCGUCACCCUUCUCCCUCCGACAUGGCCCCACGGUGGCCGUGUCGCUUCUCUGCUGCAGGAGGCAGGCUGGGAUGCAGAGCCCUUCACGGCACUGGAGGCAGAGAUGUGGUGUGAGUCACGAGGGCCCGUUUUAUAAGGUAAUCCUCUUUGUUUUGAGCUGACGGUGUUUCCAUGAGGAUUCAAUGCACUCACGUGUCUGAAAUACUGAGUGUGCUGCCGUGGGCUUCCUAAGUGUUCUUCGUUCAUCACCAUCGUUGUUACUAAUGAUCAUUUCCCUGGUGGCUGCAGACACUGGUGGCAUCUUCCUGUAGCCACGUCCAGCAUCCACUUACCUGCGAGGUGGGCAAGUGGCUCGUUUCUGUGACGGGACGGACAUUCAUUUCCCGCCAGGCGUCUGCACGUUGUGCUGCAGACAGGAACAGGUCUUGGCAAAGGUGCGAAAGAUAGAGACCGAGUUAAAAAAAACGCAUUUACGGUCAGUGAAAUGUGUUGAUACAGAAACAGGCCUGCCUCUCGGAUGCUGGAAACGUGCAGCGACAACACUGAGGCUUUGGUGGCCGCUUGUCCAGUGCCGCUGGGGGCUCGGCGCCUUUCCCUGUGCUGCUGUGGCUGCUGCCGAAGCCUGGAGUGGCGGGUGCCAUACAGGUGUGACGGUUCAGGCCUGGCAGGUGGCGUGGGGCCUGCUGGGAGUGGGGCGUGUGUGCUGGGGGGUCUUCCCUGGCUUGGCCCCAGAGGCAGCGAGGCUGCUGGGUGAGGUGCCUCACCUCCACUGGGCACUGUGGAGUCAGUCAUGGGCAAGACGAUUCCUGGAGACCGUCCUGUCCUGUGUGACCCGAAGAUGGAGGUACAGAGAGAGUGGGUACGUGUCCCAGGCGCACUGGGUGUGGGUGUCCUGGGGCAGCCAGAACUGGAGACCACAAACGGGGUGGUUCAGAACAGCAGAAAUCUGUUCCCGCCUGGCUCUGGAGACAGUAGUCUGAGGUCAAGGUGUCGAGGGCAUUCUCCCUCCUGAGGCUCCAGGGAGGGUCCUUCCCGCCUCCUCCAGCUUCCGGGAGGGGGCUCCACGUAUCCCUGGGCUUGUGGCCACGUCCUUCCUGUCUCUGCUUCCAUCAUCAUGUGGCUUCUGUUCUGCGUCUGCCUCUCCUUCUCUGUCUCUUACAAGAUGCCUGUCACUGGGUUUAGGGCUACUCUCAUCCAGGAUGAGCUCAUCUCGGUUCCUUCAGUUCACAUCUGCAUAGACCCAGGCACGGGCUCCGGGGCAGGUUACGGGCAUGCCUUUUUGGGGCCACAUUCAGACCAUUUCUCCGUGUCAUGACUCUUCCCCUCUCGUGCUGUAACUGAGAGGGCAGCAGUUUUUCACAGAUUGUGAGUUUGGGUAAUUUCUGCACGUCUUGGAUGAGCCUGACUUCUUAAUUUGUGUGGGAAGAUUAAUUGCAUCAUCAGGCUUUGCCAGGCACCCAGACCAUGACCUGGGCAGUCGUAACUGCUGUUUCUUGAGCAGCUACAGGUGCGGACACGGGGCUGGUAGGGUUCAUGGUGCCUUGGCCCCACCUCCGAGGGCAGGGUUUAUCCUUUCCCCUGACACAUACUUAGGUCCCACCUCUGGAGGCUAGUGGGGAGGGGAGCUCAGAGCUCUGACUGAUGGGACACAAACAGGGAGCUGGGCUCCGUGGGAACAGGGGUCUGAGGGCUCUGUGGGGCGUCCGAGAGGCCCGCUCUUGGGCAAGAGCCUUUGGGCACUGUUCCCGCAGGACCAGCAGGAAGACGCAGCCUCGGUGCCACCUGCCUCUCAGGGAGGAGGGGCUCUCGCCUGGCCAUGGAGAAUGAGGCUCCUGUCUAGGCACAGGGGGCCAGAAAGGCAUCACUGGAGCUGACCGCCAAGAUGGACCUUGAGGAACCAGUGGGCCUAAGGCCUUACCUUUUGCCUUUGUCAGGUCACAGGAGGACGUGGUCUUCCUUCCUCCGGCUCCUCAGCAUGCUGGCCGUUGGGGGAGAGUUGAGAUGCUGUUCUGUGGGGGGACCUAACUGCUGGGGUGCGCCCUGCCUGCUGGGCACCAUGGCACCUGCAGGUGGCUGUCCGUGCAGUCUCUCUCUGGGAUGGGCUUCCUGGGGCUUCAUGUGCUGCCUUCUUCUGGCUUCCCCAGGGUUUUAAGAGGCUCAAGGGCAGACUGCCUGUCUUUUACUUCUCUAAAAACGUUUAAAAAAUUGAAGUAUGGCGAAGCUACCGUGUUAUAUUCAAUAUUAGUUUCAGGUGUGCAACAUAAGGAUGAGAUAACUCUGUUCAGCACUCAGUGCUCGUGAUGAUAUGAAGGAGACUCUCAGUCUCCUUUACCUAUCACCCCCGCCCCCCCACGACUUCCCCUCUGGUGACCAUCAAUGAGUAAGGUCAUACAGUGUUUUUCUUUGACUGAUUUUUCUUAGAGUAUAUUCUAGUUCCAUCUACGUUGUUGCAAAUGGCAAGAUUUCAUUCAUUUUUAUGGCUGAGUAAUAUUUCAUUGUGUAUAUACACCACCUCUUCUUUAUCUGGUCAUCAAACUACGGACACUUGUUUGCUUUCCAUAUCUUGGUGGUUGUUGAUAGUGCUGCCAUCGACACUGGGGUGUGUAUCUUGUGAAUUAGUGUUUUUAUUUUCUUUGGGUAAAUACUAGUGGAAUUAUCACAUUAGCUUUUUGAGGCACCUCCACAUUGUUUUCCAGAGCAGCUGCACCAGUUUGCAUUCCCACCAGCAGUGCAAGAGGGUUCCCGUUUCUCCACAUCCUCGCCAACAUCUGCUUGUUCAGUUGUUAAAUUAUAGCCACUCUGACCGGUGUGAGGUGGUAUCUCCUGGUGGUUUUGAUUUGUAUUUUCCUGAUGAUGAGUGAUGUUGAGCAUCUUUUCGUGUGUCUGUUGGCCAUCUGGAUGUCUUCUUUGGAAAAAUGUUUAUUCAGGUCAUCUGCCCAUGUUUAAUUGGAUUGUUUGGGGUGGUUUUUGGUGUUGAGUUGUAGAAGUUCUUUACAAAUUUUGGAUAUUAACCCCUUGUUGGAUGCGUCAUUUGUGAGUGUCUUAUCCUGCUCAGUAGGUUGCCUCGUCAUUUUAUUGAGGGUUUCCUUGUCCAGUAAGUUUUCAAGGUGCUGAGAUCUGAUUCCCAUGCCUUGUAUGCUCUGAGGUGGGAUUCCAGCGGACCUCUGAUUGCCCUUUCUCCUUCCCUUGAAAGUGAAGUUUCUGAAUGUCCGCGAAGCCAUAGACCAUCAGCCCAGGAGGUGUCUCGUUGUUCUGUGCGCCUGAUGGGCCCUGUGAGGCUCCCAGAAAAGGACGUCCCAAACCACUGCCUGAGCCUGGGUGCCGGCGGAUGGUUCCUCUCAGGACCACUUCUCAGUGUGUGCACAGACAGCGAGCUGGAGUCUCCUCUUGUAUGGACGCUGACCCUGGUGUGGGGCCCACCCUCACGACCUCAUCUGACUCUGAUCAUUGCCUUAGAGGCUUUGCUCCAAAUACAGCCACCUGGGGGUGGGGGUUUCAACCUGGGGAUUUGGGGACACAAACAUCCAGCCCACAGAUGCGUGAAAUGUGGCGCGGCGAGUGACCUUUCUGGCAACAGUGUCAUGUGUUGCUCUGGCUGCUGACGUUUGUGCGGGACCCCUCCUGUCUCUGACUGUCUAGCUCCCCCAUCCUUCCUUUCUUGUCCCCUGGCUGGGUACCCAACCUUGCUGGAGACUCUUGAGGGUGGAGCUACCACGGAGGAGUCGGGGACCCAGCUGCCCACCCACUGGCACCCGGGUGGUUUCUCGGCUACUCAGGCACUGCUUUUGAGGAUGUAGGCUGCAGCAAGAGCGUUAUUUACUCCAGCAUAAGAAUGAGAAGAGUUUAUUAUGAAACAGCAGGUAAAGCCUGACAAAUUAAGGGAAACAAAUAGUGCACAGAGCGCCGCCUGCACAGCUGAUGCUCCAGGCAUCGUAGAUCUGGGUGAGCUGACCUCUAACCCUGGUGCCCUCUAGGGAGUGUUCGGGCUCCAGGGCCCCGACAGCACGGGUCAGCAGCUCUGCACAGUUCUGUUGCCAGUGACGUGCACAGGUGGAAAGACAAACAUAGCAGGACACAGGACAGACGGAGCCAUGGCCGGUGGUAAGGACAGGCUGCUGGGGCAGCCACGAAGCAGUUCUGAGGGGUGCACACGUGCUCCCUCUGCCCCCGGCCUUGGCCGCCCCCUCCCCUCUGACCUGGGCACUCCCUGUUGGGACCUGGUUUUUUAAAAAACAUCUCCUCUGCUACAAUCUUUUGCCUUAUUUUUGCAUUUUCAGAGGUCCUUGGCAUUUAUGUGAAGGACAUUUCUCCAUGAACAUUUUAUAAAGGUAAACGUAAAAAGAAAGGCCGAGAUGUGUCUGACCCUCCUCACUUCGGGUGGUGGCAACCUAACUAAAGCACAGGGGAGGGUUUAGUGAACUGUUGAAAAUUUACCUCUGCUACGUAACUGAUGCUAUUUCCCAAGACUGCCCAUAAAUCCUUGCUUGUGGUUUUGCCAGGGAGAUGGAAUAUUUAUGAACUGAACUAUGUCCCUCGGUUUUCCUGGUUGUAAAAGUGGACAGGAAAGAAAUCAGCACAGAAAGCAUCGGUUGCGGGGACUCGAGUCGUCUCUGUACAGACCUGUGGGGUCUUUGAGAAGUUAAACGUGUGUGGGCUUCGGAAAAGCCCAGAGAAACCCUCCCUGGGGUGUCUCUGCCCUGCCUCCGCAUCUUCCUGGAGGAAGCCUCCCCUCUCUGCGACCCCCCAUCUCCUUCAAUGCGGGCUAUUUUAGGCGAUUGGUUUUUAAUUAAGUCGCACACAUGAUUACGGCUGUGGGUAGGUUUUCGUAGUUGCUUUUGUGUAUGUAAAUGAUGCUGUGGUUGAUUAUGUGGGGCUACAAGCUAGAUGGAAACUCAGAAUUCACGUUGGGAGGUAUGUCCUUACUGUCUAAUUUAACACUAGGGAUUAUUUAUGUUUUAAUUUUUUUUUCAACAUUUAUUUAUUUUUGGGACAGAGAGAGACAGAGCAUGAACGGG